UACGUAGGGGGCGAGCGUUGUCCGGAAUUAUUGGGCGUAAAGAGCGUGUAGGCGGUUCGGUAAGUCUGCCGUGAAAACCUGGGGCUCAACCCUGGGCGUGCGGUGGAUACUGCCGGGCUAGAGGAUGGUAGAGGCGAGUGGAAUUCCCGGUGUAGCGGUGAAAUGCGCAGAUAUCGGGAGGAACACCAGUAGCGAAGGCGGCUCGCUGGGCCACACCUGACGCUGAGACGCGAAAGCUAGGGGAGCGAACAGG
rnacentral:rRNA from 1 species